rnacentral:lncRNA from 1 species
UUUUUGGUUUUCAAGUUCUGUAAGCUAAUAUACAUUCACUCUCGUUAAAGUUUUUAAAAAAAUCACAUUUUCAUGUCGGGGCCAUCGGUCGACUAUAUGGAAGGGGUUUUCUCGUUAUUGAAGGCCGUAUUGAUACCUAUAAUUGCUUACAUCCACUUCAAUUUAGGAAAUUGAGCGUACACACACAUGCAUGUUUAUCACGUCACAUUCUUUAUGUGCCUGUCCCAAGUCAGUGGCUUGUAGUUCAGUGGUUGUCGUUGGUUCAUGUCUG